GACGAACCGUGCGAACGUUGUUCGGAAUCACUGGGCUUAAAGGGCGCGUAGGCGGGCGGACACGUCCGGGGUGAAAUCGUUCGGCUUAACCGGACCAGGGCCUCGGAUACGGGCCGCCUCGAGGGGGGUAGGGGCACGCGGAACUGCGGGUGGAGCGGUGAAAUGCGUUGAUAUCCGCAGGAACGCCGGUGGCGAAAGCGGCGUGCUGGAUCCCCACUGACGCUGAGGCGCGAAAGCCAGGGGAGCGAACGGG
rnacentral:rRNA from 1 species